rnacentral:rRNA from 1 species
AUUGAACGCUGGCGGCAGGCCUAACACAUGCAAGUCGGGCGAGCGGCGGACGGGUGAGUAAUUUAUGGGGAUCUGCGUGAUGGAGGGGGAUAACUACUGGAACCCGUAGCUAAUACCGCAUACGAUCCGUUCGACCCAUAUGGGUUUAGCUUGUGGGGGGGGUAACGGCUCACCUAGGCGACGAUCCAUAGCUGGUCUGAGAGGAUGAUCAGCCACACUGGGACUGAGACACGGCCCAGACUCCUACGGUAGGCAGCAGUAGGGAAUAUUCCGCAAUGGACGCAAGCCUGAUGGAGCCAUGCCGCGUGUAUGAAGAAGGCCUUCGGAUUGUAAAACUCUGUCGGUCGGGAAGCGUUACCGAACGAGAAAGCAACGGCUAACUCCGUGCCAGCAGCCGCGGUAAUAC